CUGGAAUGUGCCACAGACAUUGCCUCCAGAGUGAUGUUUUCUGCAGCAUGGUUCACUGACUACAACUGAGAAGAUGCGUCAGGACAGAGCAUCCCUGCCUUCUGAAUGUAGACAGAACAACUUAAAACAAUGAGAACAAAAGCAUCCAAAGGAGGCAGAUGGCAAAGAAAGGAAUGACUGCAGCUUUAAGCAGCCAACUACCAACCUUUGUGAGCAGGGCUGUGAGAGAGGAGCCUUGCCCAGCCUGAAUGUUAGUAAAAUCCAGACUUGAAUGUGGGAUGGGAUCAAAGCAGAGAUAGAGGGAUUUGGGCAUUUUUUAGUUUUCAAAAGUGCUGUGCUGCAGAUAUCAUGCUGUAUCACAGCAGCAUUCUGAGGUAAUAGAGGACAAAUGAGGGGAUGUGCUUGUGAUAUGUGUUUUUAUAUACAGUUAUUUGACUGCAUUCUCUACAGGCCAGAAAAAGGUUGCUGGGUAAGAAUUCAAGUCUGGGAGCUUGUCUGUGUAGACUGAAGUAGGAACUAUUUAAUAAGUAUACCAAAACACAAGUGUCACAGACGUAUGUGGGAUUCAGCAUGCAGUGUUUGCACAGAAAUGCACUAUGCAAAGUUAUACAAGGAUCUGUUCUUCAUUACAGAUGAGAACAUUAACGAAAAGCAAAGCUACAGAACCUUAAUCUUUAACAUUACUUUAAAAUUUUAGUGCAAGUGACUAGAUGGCUCAGUCAGCUCUUAAUUUAGCAGUUCAGAUACAGCAUAAAUUAACACCUCUUACUUUAGCCUGUAGCUAACAUUGAAUAAUUAGGUGAUUUCCACUACUGAAUGAUUAUCACAAUAAAAACCUUUCACAACU